AGAAAAUGGUAAAAUUGAGUUUUUAAUUAAGUAAAAAAAAAAACAUUUUGUGUAGGAGCUCUUACAUGAAUUCACAAAUAUUUGUAAUCUUCUUCCUAGAGAAAACAAACAAAAGCCUGGUGUUCUGUUACCUAUUGGUGUCUGUCCCAAUAGGAACACAGCCCAAGAGUGUGGAGUGCAGAGAAGCAGAAGAAGGAUGCUCACAAGAAGACCAAUGAUUAAAUAUCUGGCUCAUAAUCACAGACAGACACCAGGAUUGUGCUAGGAUUGUCCCAUCAGCUGGGAGGAGCUGGGGAGACCGAGAUGAGCAAAGCUGACCUUAUUGAAAGAAGAAGGAACUGCUUCCACAUUGUCAAAACCGUAUUGGGACAAAUUGGUGUUCUUUUCAUUUAUCAGUAGAGAAGAAAACUCAAAGGACUACCACUCAGAAAGUCAAAUCAUCAGUCCACAGUCUCUCUGUGCCUAUAGAAUUAAGGGACAAAUUCUCUGCUGUUAUACGCUGGUCCAGGAGGAGGCUGAUGACAAAAGGGAAGGAGGGAAUGAUUGGAAAAUAAUGACAUACUUUACCAGUCUACGUCUCCUGAGGAACAGGCUCUUUGUUUUAAAACAGUAAAUUGUUUCUCUGCCUUCACAUCCAGCAUCAAGAGUCUGGUACAUACUAGAAACAACAGACAUUAUUUGAGGUAAUCUUGAGGUCUCUAAGAGCCAAAGAAGAUGCACAGGCAAAGUCCUGAAGCCUCUCUCCCACCCUGUCUCAGAAAUUGAAAGUGUUUUAAACUAAGAGCUGGUAGAAUAAGGAAAAUAAAAUAUGUCUGGAUAUGAACUGAUCUCUUUGA
rnacentral:lncRNA from 1 species